rnacentral:rRNA from 1 species
UACGAGAGGCCCAAACGUUAUUCGGAAUUACUGGGCUUAAAGAGUUCGUAGGCGGCGCAGAAAGUAGGGUGUGAAAGCCCUCGGCUCAACCGAGGAAUUGCGCCCUAAACUACUGUGCUUGAGGAACCUAGAGGUGAGCAGAACAGAUGGUGGAGCGGUGAAAUGCGUUGAUAUCAUCUGGAAUACCGGAGGCGAAGGCGGCUCACUGGGGGUUUUCUGACGCUGAGGAACGAAAGCCAGGGGAGCAAACAGG